rnacentral:rRNA from 1 species
CAGAGGAGCCAAGCGUUGUCCGGAUUGACUGGGCGUAAAGCGCGUGUAGGCGGCUAUGUAAGUCGGGCGUGAAAUCCCACGGCUCAACCGUGGAAGUGCACCCGAAACUGCGUAGCUAGAGUCCUGGAGAGGAAGGUGGAAUGCUUGGUGUAGAGGUGAAAUUCGUAGAUAUCAAGCGGAACACCGGUGGCGAAGGCGGCCUUCUGGACAGUGACUGACGCUGAGACGCGAAAGCGUGGGGAGCAAACAGG